CACCUGGAGGUGUCACCUGGAGGUGUCACCUGGAGGUGUCACCUGGAGGAGGUGACCUGGAGGUGUCACCUGGAGGUGUCACCUGGAGGGGUCACCUGGAGGAGGUGACCUGGAGGUGUCACCUGGAGGUGUCACCUGGAGGAGGUGACCUGAAGGUGUCACCUGGAGGUGUCACCUGGAGGUGUCACCUGGAGGUGUCACCUGGAGGAGGUGACCUGAAGGUGUCACCUGGAGGAGGUGUCACCUGGAGGAGGUGUCACCUGGAAGCCCAGGGACCCCCGAGGUGGGGACAUGGAGGUGACAAAGUGGCACCUCCGAGAAGGGGGAGACCCCCACAGGGACACCUGGAGGGGGAGGAGACGGCCCCUGGAGCCCCUCGGAGCGCUGGGGACGUCUCCAGUGGGACAGAAGUGACACGGGGACACCUUCUGGGGACCCCAAAGGGGUGGAGAUGGCACCAGAACCCUCCUGGGGAUCCGGGAUCGGGCACAGGGACCUUCAGCGAGGGGACUGGGGACACCUCAGGUGUCACAGGUGCCACCAGGACCAGGAUGGGACAUCUCCAAAGGGAUGGAGACGCAGCAGGAACCCCCUGGACAGGGGACAGACACCUCCAGGGUGACAGGGACACCACGGAGACCUUCUCCAGGUGGUGGGAAUCGCACGGGGACGUCACCAAAGGGACGCAGACUCUGCCCAAAGUGCCACAGGAUGGCGGGGAUGGAGGACAGGGACCUCAAAAUGUGAUGGAGAGGACAAAAAGACCUUCCCAGGGGGAUGGAGGUGGGGCAGGGACAUCUCCAGAGGGGUGGAGAUGCGGCAGGAACCCCAUGAAAUGAGGGAUGGACACCUCUGAGGUGACAAGGACACCACCAGAGGCUUCUCCAGGCGGUGGGGACAGGGCAAGGACAUCUCCAGAGGGACAGAGAUCCGGGAUGAACCCCAUGAAAUGAGGGACAGACACCUCUGAGGUGACACUGAACCUUCUCCGGGCGGUGGGGACGGGACAGGGACAUCUCCAGAUGGGUGGAGAUGCAGCAGGAACCCCGAGAAAUGAGGGACAGACACCUCUGAGGUGACAGGGACACCACGAGAGGCUUCUCUGGACACUGGGGACAGGACAGGGACAUCUCCAGAGGGACAGAGAUCCAGCAGGAACCCCAUGAAAUGAGGGACAGACACCUCUGAGGUGACAGGGACACCACCAGAGGCUUCUCCAGGCGGUGGGGAUGGGACAGGGACAUCUCCAGAGGGACAGAGAUCCGGGGUGAACCCCGAGAAAUGAGGGAUGGACACCUCUGAGGUGACACUGAACCUUCUCCAGGUGGUGGGGACAGGACAGGGACAUCUCCAGAGGGACAAAGAUCCAGGGUGAACCCCGAGAAAUGAGGGACAGACACCUCUGAGGUGCCACUGAACUUUCUCCGAGUGGUGGGAACGGGAUGGGGACAUCUCCAGAGGGACAGAGAUCCGACAGGAACCCCAUGAAAUGAGGGACGGACACCUCUGAGGUGACACUGAACCUUCUCUGGACACUGGGGAUGGGACAGGGACAUCUCCAGAGGGAUGGCGAUCGGGGGUAAACCCCGAGAAAUGAGGGAUGGACACCUCUGAGGUGACAGGGACACCACCAGAGGGACAGAGAUCUGGCAGGAACCCCGAGAAAUGAGGGAUGGACACCUCUGAGGUGACACUGAACCUUCUCCGGACACUGGGGACAGGACAGGGACAUCUCCAGAGGGAUGGAGAUGCGGCAGGAACCCCAUGAAAUGAGGGAUGGACACCUCUGAGGUGACACUGAACCUUCUCCGGGCGGUGGGGAUGGGGCAGGGACAUCUCCAGAGGGGUGGAGAUCGGGGGUGAACCCCGAGAAAUGAGGGAUGGACACCUCUGAGGUGACACUGAACCUUCUCUGGACACUGGGGACAGGACAGGGACAUCUCCAGAGGGAUGGAGAUCCGGGGUGAACCCCGAGAAAUGAGGGAUGGACACCUCUGAGGUGCCAUUGAACUUUCUCCGAGUGGUGGGAACGGGAUGGGGACAUCUCCAGAGGGAUGGAGAUGCGGCAGGAACCCCAUGAAAUGAGGGACAGACACCUCUGAGGUGCCACUGAACUUUCUCCGAGUGGUGGGAACGGGAUGGGGACAUCUCCAGAGGGACAAAGAUCCUGGACAAGCCCCCACGGGGUGACGGGCACCGCGAGCAGACACCUCCGAACAACCACGGCAACGCUGGAGCCUCAUCACGGCCACCACCUCCAGGCGCCAAAACCCCCCCCAAAGAAAAAACAA